ACGGCGUCGCUGUGGAGGAAGAGGGUGAAGUGGCUGGUGAGGUUGAAGGGCCCCGUGAGCCACUUCCCGGCGGGCACGUACAGCAUGGCGCCGCCGGCGUCCUCGCCGGAGUACUGCGACAGGUGGUCGACCGCGGAGCGGAACGCCGCGGUGUUGGAGGUGGUGCCGUCGCCCACGCCGCCGAAGUCCGCGAGCGACGCCGUGUGCGCCCGGCAGGCCGGCGCCAGGUACAUGCUCUGCCCGGUGCCGUGCGCCGGGGUGGGCGCGUGGUGGCGCCCCGACA
rnacentral:lncRNA from 1 species